GACGAACCGUGCGAACGUUAUUCGGAAUCACUGGGCUUAAAGCGCGUGUAGGCGGGAGGGCACGUCCGUUGCUGAAAUCCCCCGGCUCAACCGGGGAACGGGCGCGGAUACGACUCUCCUUGAGGGGCGUAGGGGGACCUGGAACUUCCGGUGGAGCGGUGAAAUGCGUUGAGAUCGGAAGGAACGCCCGUGGCGAAAGCGAGGUCCUGGACGCCUACUGACGCUGAGACGCGAAAGCCAGGGGAGCGAACAGG
rnacentral:rRNA from 1 species